rnacentral:lncRNA from 1 species
UUACGUGCUUUGCUGAGCCCUGCUUUCGCGUACUGUCCUCCCCCGGAUUUGCAAUUUCUUUUUGCCGUGGCUCUUUCGGUUUCUUUCCUAACAAGUGAGCGGCUUAAGGGGACUUUGGUCAAAUGACCGGAUCGUGUAGACUGACUGCAAGUACGAUGGUGUACAAUACCUUUUUUUGGAGCGGCGCGCCAUCCACUGUGACAGAUUGGCGCUGUUCACAGCAACACUCUAGUACCAAACACACCAUGAGAGAUUGGGGCGACAGAAAACCCUCCGAUCCAAGGACCCCGGUUCGAGGACCCCUACACGGUCAAGACGGGAUUUGCUCAACAGUGGUGGAGAGGACGUCCCGGUUCCGGACAGCAAGAGAGACUCAAAAGAUGAAAAAUGCAAAAGCGCCUCCUAAACCCCUCCCCCACCUCCUCCAGCCAAAACCCAAAGGGAUUUAAAUACCAAAGCACAAAAGGGAGACAUUAUGAACCAAGAGCUGUCAACAGCUGAUUGACAACCGCCCAACCAACAAACCGUCACCAACCACCGACAGGACAAACGGAAAGUACAUUAAAAUCUAUGAUGCAGAAGCGGAAUCAGCUGUUGGUUGGAAGGCGCCGUGCGGCCCUGGCUGUAAUUUUCGCCGCCUUCCGCAGAACGACGAUGCCAUUGACGAUUACCAGAGCGCAAAACCCGUCACAUAUCCGCAUGACCGUAACCCGAUGGGACACACGUAAGGGAGGGGGGCGCCGCUCAAGCCUGCGGCAACCCAUCGGUCCCGCCUGCACACCGCCACCACCCGCUAUAUCUCCUUUUCUCUUUUCCCCCAAAAAAACCCAAAAAAAGAAACCCCCGCCUCUGUAACGGUCUUUAUCCGCUCCGGCCUCGCCCCGAAACCAGCCGUACAGUGCCCUUUCUC